AGAACGAACGCUGGCGGCAUGCCUAACACAUGCAAGUCGAACGAGCUCUUCGGAGCUAGUGGCGCACGGGUGCGUAACGCGUGGGAACCUGCCCUUAGGUUCGGAAUAACUCCCCGAAAGGGGUGCUAAUACCGGAUAAUGUCUUCGGACCAAAGAUUUAUCGCCUUUGGAUGGGCCCGCGUUGGAUUAGCUUGUUGGUGGGGUAAUGGCCUACCAAGGCGACGAUCCAUAGCUGGUCUUAGAGGAUGAUCAGCCACACUGGGACUGAGACACGGCCCAGACUCCUACGGGAGGCAGCAGUGGGGAAUAUUGGACAAUGGGCGAAAGCCUGAUCCAGCAAUGCCGCGUGAGUGAUGAAGGCCUUAGGGUUGUAAAGCUCUUUUACCCGGGAUGAUAAUGACAGUACCGGAGAAUAAGCCCGGCUAACUCCGUGCCAGCAGCCGC
rnacentral:rRNA from 1 species